GGCAAAUGAUGGUCUGUGGAUGGCACUGUGAGCAGCACCGAUAAUGCCAACGGCUUAGCUGAUGCUGGGAG